rnacentral:rRNA from 1 species
AACGAACGCUGGCGGCAUGCCUAACACAUGCAAGUCGAACGGAAACGCCGGGUCUAGUGGCGCAGGGGUGCGUAACGCGGGGGAACCUACCCUUAGGUUCGGUAUAACUGCCCGUAAGGGGUGCUAAUACCGGUUAAUGUCUUCGGACCAAAGAUUUAUUGCCGUUGGAUGGGCGCGCGUUGGAUUCGGUGGUUGGUAGGGGACAAGCCGGCCAAGGGGAGGAUGCUUGGCUGGUCGGAGAGGAGGCCACACUACAAUGGGACUGCGACACGGCCCAGACUCGUACGGAGGGGAGCAGAGGAGAAUACUGGAGAAGGAGCGAAAGCCUGAUCCAGCAAUGCGGGGUGAGAGAUGAAGCGCUUAGGGUUCUAAAGCUCUUUGACCCGGGAUGAGAAUGACAGUAACGGGAGAAUAAGCACCGGCUAACUACGUG